rnacentral:rRNA from 1 species
GGAUUAGGCAUGCAAGUCGAACGAGGGAAUAUUCUUCGGAAUAUAAAUCGAGUGGCGAAAGGGUGAGUAAUGCAUAGAUGACAUACCUUUAGGAUAAGAAUAGCUUUGUGAAAACGGAGAUAAUGCUUAAUAAUUACGAAGUGAAAUCAAUUUUCUUCGUCAAAGGGGGGGCAGCAAUGCCUCUUGCCUAGAGAGUGGUUUAUGUCCUAUCAGCUAGUUGGUGGGGUAAUGGCCUACCAAGGCUAAGACGGGUAGCCGGCCUUAGAGGGUGGUCGGCCACACUGGGACUGAGACACUGCCCAGACUCCUACGGGAGGCUGCAGUCGAGAAUCUUUCGCAAUGCCCGAAAGGGUGACGAAGCGACGCCGCGUGAGCGAAGAAGGCCCUAGGGUUGUAAAGCUCUGUCGGGGGUUAUGAAAUGUAGAUCGGUUAAUACCCGGUUUAUUUGACAAAGGCCCCAAAGGAAGCCACGGCUAACUCUGUGCCAGCAGCCGCGGUAAUACAGAGGUGGCAAGCGUUGUUCGGUAUUAUUGGGCGUAAAGAGCACGUAGGUGGUUCUGUAAGUCAGAUGUGAAAGCCUUCUGUUCAAAGGAAGAACGACAUCUGAAACUACAGAUCUUGAGUGUAGGAGGGGAGAGUGGAACUUCUGGUGGAGCGGUGAAAUGCGUAGAUAUCAGAAGGAACGUCGGCGGCGAAAGCGACUCUCUGGCCUAUUACUGACACUGAGUGUGCGAGAGUUAGGGGAGCAAACGGGAUUAGAUACCCCGGUAGUCCUAACUGUAAACGAUGGGCACUAAGUAGAGGGGUUUU